AAGCCUUAAAUAAUGAUGAUGGAGCUGAUCUUCUCACUGCUUUUGACUCAAUGGAGAAAGCUGCUAAGGUGAUGGAAACUCAGCUGCGGGAGCAAAAGGACACUUGUAAGAGUCAGCAGGAAGCUCUGGUCUUCAAAAACGAACAUUUAAACAAAGAGAACGAGCAGCUUCAAGCUCUCUUUCAGGAGAAGAGCAACGUCAACCAAAGCAUCGGACAGGAAGUGGCCCGUCUCUCUGCUGAGAACAUGGUGAUUCCAGAACUGAAGCAGCAGGUG